CGGCAUCCGCGCGGCGGCUCGGUGCAUCUGCGGCUGUGGGCCGCGGUACGCCUGUCCGAGGCCAGCGGCGCCGA
rnacentral:tRNA from 1 species